rnacentral:lncRNA from 1 species
AAUAAAAAUACAGAAACAACACCAAACAUUUAUCAUCCUCAGAGUUUCUAUGUGUCAAGAGUUCAGUGUGGCUUGGCCAGGUGGCUCUGGCUCAGGGUCUUUCAUGAGGUUGCCAUCAUUGGAAGGCUUCCAAGGUGGCUCACUCACAGGAAUCGUUGAUGUUAGGGGUUGGUAGAAGGCCUCAGUUCCUCCCACAUAGUUCCAGCCCCACAGUCUUGCUUCACUGUCCUCCUAACCUGAUGGCUGACUUCCCUCAGAGCAAGUGAUCUGAGAGAAAGAGAAACAGAGAGACAGAAAGAGAGAAAAAGAGAUCAAUCUAGGCAGAAGCUAUCCUUCUUAUGACCAGGCCUUGGAAACUACAGCAAUACUUCUACCACAUUCUAUUCAUUAGAAGUGAGUCACUGAGUAUGGAUGGGAGGUUACAUUUUAUUUUUUGAAGGGAGGAGGUCAAAGUUUUGUAGAUGGGUUAAAAACCACCAUACAUAUGAAAAAAAAAGGAAAAAAAUAGCCUUUUAGGUCUGCACUCACUCAUCCUCACCUGUUAUAUCUUCUUAUUUUUUAUCUCCAGUCUGGAACAAAGAGGCCCCGAGGCCCAGUGGGAGAUUUGGGCAGCAGAGGACAGCCCACCCGCAUGGACCACAUAAGCUCCAGGGCAAGGACUACCACCAGCUUCUCUUAUUCUGGCAUGUUCCUGCAUUCCACUGCUGCUGUAGUAAAACUCACCUGUUAGAAAUACAGGUCAAAAAUCAAUUAGGGGGAGGAGCAUAGAGAUGCAACAAAGCCUUGAACUGAAUUAUUAACUACUACCUAACACUCCUGUGCUAAGUCUCAUCCUUCUAAGCCAAGACAAAGGGAGAAAUGGAGUAAGUGAUGUGCUUCUCCUAGAAACAGGAAGGAGAAAACAAGCUUAUCUAGAUUACUGACUUUGGGCUCCCAGUGAGCAGGGGGGAGCAUUCAGAGGCUGAGGCCCAAAGGAAGGGAUACCAGACAAUUGCAUAAAUAUGCAUUGCUGCUAUGCAGAAGAGGGAAACAUAUUUUAGGUAACUGAUUAUUGCAAAGACAUUAAUCAAAUUAAGACUAUUAUAACUGGUUAGAAGCAUUUCUGCUAGAACUUAAGCUAAUACAGACCAGCUACCAGGUCAUUUGGCCUAGGAGCAGAAAAUUUAAAUUCCCAAAGAAGCUGGGUUAGGAAAAUGACAGAUUGAAACAGGACGUCUGUAAUACAGAAGGGAGCAGUGGGGACUGUGGCAAAGUAAGACCUUAAAGGGAUACUCCUUAUACUCAGCCCCAGCUGACCACCAUCAUGUAGAGAUGCAGGUUCAGUGUAGAGAGUCAGACUUUUUGAAAGACGUUGGGAAUCUGAAUUCAUGUGACAUCUCCAAUUUCUAAACAUAGGCAAUUAAUUGAAAACAUUA